UCUAUAAUAACGUUUCCUCACCAUCCUUGAAAGAUACCUGAGAGGUCUUCAGUUGUCCCUAUGUAAAGUAAUAGUGUGAUGGUGGCAUCAGUCCAGCUCCUGGAGGGCAAAUACAUCACAGAAGUCGCCACUACAGCCAACACUUCAGUGUGCACAAAAAGGCUUGGAAUUCAAUUAAUUUGGAGACUCAACUGUCCGCUUACCCAGUUGGGUGGUCCCACUAAGUCAAGACUGAGAUACCAGGUAUAUUGCAAUGGCAUGACAUCAGUAUAGCUGGUCAUCCUUUGACCAACAGCAAGAGGUUAAUUAGCAUUAGCUCUUAAGGGGGUAUUUAAGGCUGUCCUUUUCAAAGGGGCUUGAUGGACUUAACUGCCCAAAUCCUGUUGACCUUUAAAGAGAUUUUGGUACCUAACUCCCAGAGACUCUUUUGAAAGCGCUAUCUAAGCUCCUUAACAUUCUGCAGCCUUGCUGAUUUCAGUGGAGUUUUAUACAUGUUAACCAAGGACUGAAGUUAUGUUUACUCUCAUGUUUAUUCUGAUGCCUUUUCUCCAUAUAUCAUUCAGCUCCUGGGUAGACAGACUAUUAUUCCCCUUCUAAUUGGGUAAUCCUGCCUUUAGACUUUACCACUAAAAUGCGCUCUUAGGGUAUGUCUGAACUGUCGAACAGGAGAGAGAAAUUCCAUAUGGAGGAGACAUACCCAUGAUAACUCUGAUCGAGCUAGUGCACUAAUAAUAAUGUAGCCAUAGUGGCUGAAGGAGCUGGCUACCCUGAGUAUGAUACCAUCCAAGAUGUCAGGCACAUACUCAGGACAGUUAGCCCCUUGUGCCAUUCAUACCAUCAUAGCUACACGUCUAUUUUUAGCGCACUAGUUCAGUCAGAGCUAGCAUGGGUAUGUCUCUUCCAACUCCAAGUAUAGACAUAGACUUAGUUUGAAAUAUAAUUAUCUAUGUUCUCCACCCCUGAUCAUUUCAUAAAUAUGAAAGACUUGGUCCAACUUAGUGCUGGUGCUUUGAAAAAUGUACUUUUAUAUCUGCUGUAAGAACUGAGAAUCUCUUUUUAAUCUUUGGCUCAUACAAAUACUUUAUUUUUCAGUGCCUUGGCAUUAUACUGAAUAGGAAGUUGUUGAAAUAGAGCACAGUUUGCAAGAGAAAGAAAAUAGGAUCAAGAAAAGGAAGGAGGGAUUUUUCCAAAGUGCUUACAUGACUUCCCUGCACAUUUGUGUCCCAUCAACAAUCAGUGGCUAAUUAUCUAUAGCCAGCUUUUCUAUCUGAGACAAUUUGAGUGACAGAAGAAGAACAAGAUUGGUAAUUGCAUUGUGUCUACCUACAACUCCUUCUGUGACUUCAGUUUGAAAAGAUAUUAUUCACCGUCUGCACUGCACAGAUGCGUGCUGUGCUGCUGCUGAGGGGACUGAAUUUAAUUAGUGGACAAAGACUUCCUAUGUAGUUUUUUGUAAGCUAUUGGGAUCCUUCUUCACGAAAGCAAGAAGUAAGAAUCAUACUUGUAUCGGAUGGUAGAUCGGUUUAGCUCAGCUUUCACAUCAUCUAUAUCGGAUACAUUGACAUAGAAAUGGACUUCCUUGUUCUUCAUAAUAUUUUCAGCUGAAUCAGGUUUCCAAAG